CCCUUAGAUGUUCUGGGCUGCACGCGCGCUACACUGAUGCGCUCAACGAGUUUUAACCUUGCCUGGAAAGGUUGGGUAAUCUUUUUAAAACGCAUCGUGAUGGGGAUAGAUUAUUGCAAUUAUUAAUCUUCAACGAGGAAUUCCUAGUAAACGCAAGUCAUCAGCUUGCAUUGAUUACGUCCCUGCCCUUUGUACACACCGCCCGUCGCACCUACCGAUUGAAUGGUCCGGUGAAAUCUCGGGACGGCGGCUUGGUCGCUUGCGUCCGACUGCUGAAACUUGAUUAAACCAUAUCAUUUAGAGGAAGGUGAAGUCGUANCA
rnacentral:rRNA from 1 species